rnacentral:rRNA from 1 species
AUUGAACGCUGGCGGCAUGCCUUACACAUGCAAGUCGAACGGCAGCGGGGGAGAAGCUUGCUUUUCCUGCCGGCGAGUGGCGAACGGGUGAGUAAUACAUCGGAACGUGCCCUGUAGUGGGGGGAUAACUAGUCGAAAGAUUAGCUAAUACCGCAUACGACCUGAGGGUGAAAGUGGGGGACCGCAAGGCCUCAUGCUAUAGGAGCGGCCGAUGUCUGAUUAGCUAGUUGGUGGGGUAAAGGCCUACCAAGGCGACGAUCAGUAGCUGGUCUGAGAGGACGAUCAGCCACACUGGGACUGAGACACGGCCCAGACUCCUACGGGAGGCAGCAGUGGGGAAUUUUGGACAAUGGGCGAAAGCCUGAUCCAGCAAUGCCGCGUGUGUGAAGAAGGCCUUCGGGUUGUAAAGCACUUUUGUCCGGAAAGAAAUGGCUCUGGUUAAUACCAGGGGUCGAUGACGGUACCGGAAGAAUAAGGACCGGCUAACUACGUGCCAGCAGCCGCAGUAA